UUGUCUCAAAGAUUAAGCCAUGCAUGUCUCAGUACAAGCCGCAUUAAGGUGAAACCGCGAAAGGCUCAUUAAAUCAGUUAUGGUUCCUUAGAUCGUACCCACGUUACUUGGAUAACUGUGGUAAUUCUAGAGCUAAUACAUGCAAACAGAGCUCCGACCGGAGACGGGAGGAGUGCUUUUAUUAGAUCAAAACCAAUCGGCGGCGGGCGCGUCCGCGCGUCCGUUCGCCGCUCUACCUGGUGACUCUGAAUAACUUUCCGCUGAUCGCACGGUCUCGCACCGGCGACGUAUCUUUCAAAUGUCUGCCUUAUCAACUGUCGAUGGUAGGUUCUGCGCCUACCAUGGUCGUAACGGGUAACGGGGAAUCAGGGUUCGAUUCCGGAGAGGGAGCCUGAGAAACGGCUACCACAUCCAAGGAAGGCAGCAGGCGCGCAAAUUACCCACUCCCGGCACGGGGAGGUAGUGACGAAAAAUAACGAUACGGGACUCAUCCGAGGCCCCGUAAUCGGAAUGAGUACACUUUAAAUCCUUUAACGAGGACCAAUUGGAGGGCAAGUCUGGUGCCA
rnacentral:rRNA from 1 species